AUUGAACGCUGGCGGCAGGCCUAACACAUGCAAGUCGAGCGGUUGACGGGAGCUUGCUCCCUGAUUCAGCGGCGGACGGGUGAGUAAUGCCUAGGAAUCUGCCUAUUAGUGGGGGACAACGUUUCGAAAGGAACGCUAAUACCGCAUACGUCCUACGGGAGAAAGCAGGGGACCUUCGGGCCUUGCGCUAAUAGAUGAGCCUAGGUCGGAUUAGCUAGUUGGUGAGGUAAUGGCUCACCAAGGCGACGAUCCGUAACUGGUCUGAGAGGAUGAUCAGUCACACUGGAACUGAGACACGGUCCAGACUCCUACGGGAGGCAGCAGUGGGGAAUAUUGGACAAUGGGCGAAAGCCUGAUCCAGCCAUGCCGCGUGUGUGAAGAAGGUCUUCGGAUUGUAAAGCACUUUAAGUUGGGAGGAAGGGUUGUAGAUUAAUACUCUGCAAUUCUGACGUUACCGACAGAAUAAGCACCGGCUAACUCUGUGCCAGCCGCCGCAGUAAAAC
rnacentral:rRNA from 1 species